rnacentral:miRNA from 1 species
UCUGUGUGUGUGUGUGUGUGUGUGCAUGUGCACACACAUGCAUACACAUGCAGUAGCAAUAAUAGAUAC